AACGGGUGAUAACACGUGAGCAACCUGCCCCAGGCUUUGGGAUAACCCCGGGAAACCGGGGUAAUACCGAAUAUGACCUUGCACCGCAUGGUGUUUGGUGGAAAGUUUUUUGCUUGGGAUGGGCUCGCGGCCUAUCACUUGUUGGUGGGGUGAUGGCCUACCAAGGCGACGACGGGUACCGGCCUGAGAGGGCGACCGGCCACACUGGGAUGAGACACGGCCCAACUCUACGGGAGGCAGCAUGGGAAUAUUGCACAUGGGCGGAAGCCUGAUGCAGCGACGCCGCGUGAGGGAUGACGGCCUUCGGGUUGUAAACCUCUUUAGCAGGGACAAGCCAAUGACGGUACCUGCAAGAAGCGCCGGCCAACUACGUGCCAGCAGCCGCGGUAAGACGUAGGGCGCGAGCGUUGUCCGGAUUUAUUGGGCGUAAAGAGCUCGUAGGCGGCUUGUCGCGUCGACCGUGAAAACUUGGGGCUCAACCCCAAGCCUGCGGUCGAUACGGGCAGGCUAGAGUUCGGUAGGGGAGACUGGAAUUCCUGGUGUAGCGGUGAAAUGCGCAGAUAUCAGGAGGAACACCGGUGGCGAAGGCGGGUCUCUGGGCCGAUACUGACGCUGAGGAGCGAAAGCGUGGGGAGCGAACAGGAUUAGAUACCCUGGUAGUCCACGCUGUAAACGUUGGGCGCUAGGUGUGGGGGGCCUCUCCGGUUCCCUGUGCCGCAGCUAACGCAUUAAGCGCCCCGCCUGGGGAGUACGGCCGCAAGGCUAAAACUCAAAGAAUUGACGGGGGCCCGCACAAGCGGCGGAGCAUGCGAUUAAUUGAUGCAACGGAAGAACCUUACGGGUUUGACAGGCCGCAAACUGUCAAGAUGGCAGGUCCUUCGGGGCGGUCACAGGUGGUGCAUGGCGGUCGUCAGCUCGUGUCGUGAGAUGUUGGGUUAAGUCCCGCAACGAGCGCAACCCUCGUUCGAUGUUGCCAGCGCGUUAUGGCGGGGACUCAUCGAAGACUGCCGGGGUCAACUCGGAGGAAGGUGGGGAUGACGUCAAGUCAUCAUGCCCCUUAUGUCCAGGGCUUCACGCAUGCUACAAUGGCCGGUACAAUGGGGUGCGAUACCGUGAGGUGGAGCGAAUCCCAAAAAACCGGUCUCAGUUCGGAUCGGGGUCUCAACUCGACCCC
rnacentral:rRNA from 1 species